rnacentral:rRNA from 1 species
AUUGAACUCUGGCGGCAGGCCUAACACAUGCAAGUCGAGCGGUAGCACAGAGAGCUUGCUCUCGGGUGACGAGCGGCGGACGGGUGAGUAAUGUCUGGGAAACUGCCUGAUGGAGGGGGAUAACUACUGGAAACGGUAGCUAAUACCGCAUAACGUCGCAAGACCAAAGUGGGGGACCUUCGGGCCUCAUGCCAUCAGAUGUGCCCAGAUGGGAUUAGCUAGUAGGUGGGGUAAUGGCUCACCUAGGCGACGAUCCCUAGCUGGUCUGAGAGGAUGACCAGCCACACUGGAACUGAGACACGGUCCAGACUCCUACGGGAGGCAGCAGUGGGGAAUAUUGCACAAUGGGCGCAAGCCUGAUGCAGCCAUGCCGCGUGUGUGAAGAAGGCCUUCGGGUUGUAAAGCACUUUCAGCGGGGAGGAAGGCGAUAAGGUUAAUAACCACAUCGAUUGACGUUACCCGCAGAAGAAGCACCGGCUAACUCCGUGCCAGCAGCCGCGGUAAUACGGAGGGUGCAAGCGUUAAUCGGAAUUACUGGGCGUAAAGCGCACGCAGGCGGUCUGUCAAGUCGGAUGUGAAAUCCCCGGGCUCAACCUGGGAACUGCAUUCGAAACUGGCAGGCUAGAGUCUUGUAGAGGGGGGUAGAAUUCCAGGUGUAGCGGUGAAAUGCGUAGAGAUCUGGAGGAAUACCGGUGGCGAAGGCGGCCCCCUGGACAAAGACUGACGCUCAGGUGCGAAAGCGUGGGGAGCAAACAGGAUUAGAUACCCUGGUAGUCCACGCCGUAAACGAUGUCGAUUUGGAGGUUGUGCCCUUGAGGCGUGGCUUCCGGAGCUAACGCGUUAAAUCGACCGCCUGGGGAGUACGGCCGCAAGGUUAAAACUCAAAUGAAUUGACGGGGGCCCGCACAAGCGGUGGAGCAUGUGGUUUAAUUCGAUGCAACGCGAAGAACCUUACCUGGUCUUGACAUCCACAGAACUUUCCAGAGAUGGAUUGGUGCCUUCGGGAACUGUGAGACAGGUGCUGCAUGGCUGUCGUCAGCUCGUGUUGUGAAAUGUUGGGUUAAGUCCCGCAACGAGCGCAACCCUUAUCCUUUGUUGCCAGCGGUCCGGCCGGGAACUCAAAGGAGACUGCCAGUGAUAAACUGGAGGAAGGUGGGGAUGACGUCAAGUCAUCAUGGCCCUUACGACCAGGGCUACACACGUGCUACAAUGGCAUAUACAAAGAGAAGCGACCUCGCGAGAGCAAGCGGACCUCAUAAAGUAUGUCGUAGUCCGGAUUGGAGUCUGCAACUCGACUCCAUGAAGUCGGAAUCGCUAGUAAUCGUAGAUCAGAAUGCUACGGUGAAUACGUUCCCGGGCCU